rnacentral:rRNA from 1 species
UACAGAGGGUGCAAGCGUUAAUCGGAUUUACUGGGCGUAAAGCGUGCGUAGGCGGUUUGUUAAGUCGGAUGUGAAAGCCCUGGGCUCAACCUAGGAAUAGCAUUCGAUACUGGCGGACUCGAAAUCGGUAGAGGGAGGUGGAACUCCAGGUGUAGCGGUGAAAUGCGUAGAUAUCUGGAAGAACACCGAUGGCGAAGGCAGCCUCCUGGGCCUGAUUUGACGCUGAGGCACGAAAGCGUGGGGAGCAAACAGG